GUAACGCGUGAGGAACCUGCCUCAAAGAGGGGGACAACAGUUGGAAACGACUGCUAAUACCGCAUAAGCCCACGGAUCGGCAUCGAUCUGAGGGAAAAGGAGUGAUCCGCUUUGAGAUGGCCUCGCGUCCGAUUAGCUAGUUGGUGAGGUAAUGGCCCACCAAGGCGACGAUCGGUAGCCGGACUGAGAGGUUGAACGGCCACAUUGGGACUGAGACACGGCCCAGACUCCUACGGGAGGCAGCAGUGGGGAAUAUUGCACAAUGGGGGAAACCCUGAUGCAGCGACGCCGCGUGGAGGAAGAAGGUCUUCGGAUUGUAAACUCCUGUUGUUGAGGAAGAUAAUGACGGUACUCAACAAGGAAGUGACGGCUAACUACGUGCCAGCAGCCGCGGUAA
rnacentral:rRNA from 1 species